AAGAUACCCUCAAAAAAGGUUUGUGUUUAAGAAAUCCCUUUAUAUGUUAUAAAAAGCAAGAUUCCAAAACAGUAACAUAAAUCACUAACCUGGUUAUUAAGAAAAAUACUUCAAGAGGUUUUAAGCGCAAAACAAAAAGGGGUAUCAAGUUAAAUUGCUAACAGUUUCUUGCAGUUGUAUGCUGUGUUGGUAGUUUGGUUGCUUUGGUUAAGGCUUUGUGCGCAAUCAACAAAAUUGUAUGUUGUCAAGUGUCGUGUUUAUCAUUCUAGAGCUAGAGUUUAGUUGGCUACUGCACAUAGUACCAACUUACAACAUCAACAGCAACAGAAACAAGACAAUGUCACAAAAGUCAACACAAACAACAAGAAUACUUAAAAUCGAGACAACAAAAACAACAACAUUAAUAGCAACAACAACAAUAAUACAAACAACAGUAGCUGCUAACAUUAGCUGCAACACAGCAACAUCAACAGCAGCAGCAUGAAAACAAACAACAUUAGCGGCAUAGCAACUUGUAAUAUGGUAUGUUUAUGCUUCCAAGAUACAAAAAGGUGAUAAUUAUUAUAUAAAGUAAGAUGAACUUAGAGGAUAUGCAAAAAUGAAUGUGUUACUGGUUGUUUCGAGUCUGGAGUAAAUGGAAAAUCUUACAUGUAAAUAAAUAGAAAAAUAAGCACAACAUCACGGCAAAAAGAAGAAAAAGGAGAAAAAAGACUAGUAAAACAAAAUUAAUUUUUUUGUUUAUCAUCGAAAAAUCGUAUAAAUCGGAAUUGUAAAGGUGCUCACCGGUCGGUAUUUUGAAUAUUAAAGUAAAUUUCGUUCGAUGUUGUAAGGUGCGUGUUUUCAAUCGGUUUUAAUCUAUUAGUAAAGCAAAAAAUAAAUAAAAUUUAUAAAGAUGAAAGAUCUUAAAAAAAGUUGUAGCAUUACGCAUCGGUUCGGGAGUGUUUAUUAUUUUGUGGAUAGUUUUUCGGUUAAAUCGUGUAAAAGGCAUGCUUGACACAUUAUUAAAGAUGAUCUAUAUGCAGUACCUUAAUUUAAAGUACACUGCAGUACCCAUGCUAACAAAUUAGCAGAGAAAAAAGUCAAUUACACCAUUGCCCUACGGACUCAGCAAUCCAAUUGGUAUUAGCUUCAUUUGCAUAAAUCUAUAAAUCGGUGUUAUAAAGUUGCUUGUCGUUCGGUAUUUUAAAUAUUAAAGAAAAUUUCGUUCGAAGUUCAAAUGUGCAUUUUUCACUCGGUUUUAACAAAUUUGGAAAUCAAAAAUAUAUAAGAAAAUAGCUACAUAUAGCAUUGCUUAGUAAUUCGAGUCGGUUCGGGAGUGUUUAUUAUUUUUCGGAUUAUCGGAGUUGUUAAGUUGCUCGGUCGGUAUUUUAAAUAUUAAAGUAAAUUUCAUUCGAAGUUCUAAUGUGCAUUUUUCAUUCGAUUUUAACAAAUGUGUAAAACAAAAAUUUAAGAAAAUAGCUAUAUAUAGCAUUGCUUAGUAAUUCGAGUCAGUUCGGGAGUGUUUAUUAUUUUUCGGAUAAAUCGUGUUAAAAGCUUGCUUGUCAUCUUAUUAGAUAUCAUGUAUUUUAUUUAAUCUGCAAUAUCUUAAAUUUUGAACACUGCACUAUCCAUAUUAGCAGAGACAAUAAUCAAUUACACCAUUGCCGCACGAACUCAGCAAUCCAAUUGGUAUUAGCUUCAACAUACACCUCUUCUGUGCUAAACGAGUGAAGUUUGGUGUUUUUUAAUAAUUAAGUAAAUUUGAGAAAAAAAGUGUUUUCGCGGUUCGCGUCGGUAAUUUUUAAAAGUGUUUUAAAAAAAAAUUUAAAGAAGAUGGAAUCUCCUGUCAACUGUUGCAUCAUAAUUUUAAAAUACCACAUUAUCGACCAUCAUCUAUACUAGCAGAGACAACAAUCAAAUACUGCAUUAUACACCAGUUAAGCUUCAUCAUAAACCAGUGCUGUACUAAAUGGAAGUUUCAACGCGCGUAGUUUUGUUUUUAUAAAUAAAUUUUCGAAAAAAAGUGUUUCGAGUUGUAAAAUAAAAAAGUUUUGGCGGUUCGCUUCGGAAAUUUUUGAAAGUAGAAAAAUAAGUGUUCAUAUGUUUCGUUUCGUGUCGGUUAUUAAAAAAAUAAAAUAAAUUAAAAAUUAUUUUGGCGGUGCGCGUCGAAAAAGAAAAGAAUCGCUUAUAUCGUUCGUUCUUGAAAAAAUAUAAAGAAAUAUCUAAUGAAGUGAAAUUGUGUACUUCGGUUACCCGAUACAUAUUUUGAUAGAGAUGGAAUCUUUUUUUCAACUAUUGUAUCGUAAAUUCUAAAUAACCACAUUAUCGGCCAUCAUCUACACUAGCAGAGACAACAAUCAACUACUGCAUUAUCAAACAGCUAAGCUUCAUCAUAAACCUCUGCUGUACUAGAUGGAAGUUUCAACGCGCGUAGUUCUGUUUUUAUAAAUAAAUUUUCGAAAAAACGUGUUUCGAGUUGUAAAAUAAAAAAGUUUUGGCGGUUCGUUUCGGUAAUUUUUGAAAGUAGAAAAAUAAGUGUUCAUUUGUUUCGUUUCGUGUCGGUUAUUUAAAAAAAAUAAAUUAAAAAUGAUUUUGGCGGUUCGCGUCGGGAAGUUAGAAAAGAAUCGCUUAUAUCGUCCGGUCUUUAAAAAGUAUAUAGAAAUAUCUAAUGAAGUGAAAUUGUGUACUUUGGUUACCCGAUAAUUUAAUAGAGAUGGAAUCUCUUUUCAACUUUUGUAUCAUAAAUUCCAAAUAACCACAUUAUCGGCCGUUAUCUACACUAGCAGAGACAACAAUCAACUACUGCAUUAUCAAACAGCUGAGCUUCAUCUUAAACAUGUGCUGGAACUUUGGUUAUAAACGGGUUUAAUGAUACUUACCGUGCUCGCAGCAAACGUGAUACCGCUCUAUUAGCAUACGAUGCUGAUGUUGCUCAAAAGGAAAUUUUACGUGAAUUUGGUCCUAGAGCAUGCAUCUUAGAGGAACCUUGUCGCAUACAUGCC